UUUUCAAGCCAGGAAUUCAAAUGCUGAAAGCUGGAAUUUGUCUAAAGACGGUCAAAGAGGGCCAGGAUUCGCUGCAUAAUUAUGUGGGAAAGUGGAUAGUUGCUGUUGGUUGUUUGAAGGCAGUCAUAGACUGCCAGACUUUGCUGUUUGAAGUCACGUCAGUAAGAAGCGAAUAUCCUAUUGACUGGAGUGGGCUUGGUCACUGUAACACAGAGAAGCAGUUGCAAUAUUCAACCCAGAGGCAGAGUUUCAGCUGCUAAAACCCCAGCAGGUGGAAGACGUUAACUGCGUGCCUGCAUGCUGACCACAGACCAGUUGGGACCAGAAAAUUCCCAGAAUAUCACCUGUUACCUUACCAUCAACCAAAGAAUUGAGCCUGAGCUAAUCAUUGACUCUGCACCCUCUCCCUCACUUUGACUCUAAAA